rnacentral:tRNA from 1 species
GGUACAGUACUUUAAUAAAAAGGUUGAUUUUGCGUGUCAAGAUUGGGUUUCCCUUGUGCCU